rnacentral:rRNA from 1 species
GGUCCAUAGGGGGCAGCUUACACAUGCAAGUCGAGCGGAGAGAGGUAGCUUGCUACUGAUCUUAGCGGCGGACGGGUGAGUAAUGCUUAGGAAUCUGCCUAUUAGUGGGGGACAACAUUUCGAAAGGAAUGCUAAUACCGCAUACGUCCUACGGGAGAAAGCAGGGGAUCUUCGGACCUUGCGCUAAUAGAUGAGCCUAAGUCGGAUUAGCUAGUUGGUGGGGUAAAGGCCUACCAAGGCGACGAUCUGUAGCGGGUCUGAGAGGAUGAUCCGCCACACUGGGACUGAGACACGGCCCAGACUCCUACGGGAGGCAGCAGUGGGGAAUAUUGGACAAUGGGCGCAAGCCUGAUCCAGCCAUGCCGCGUGUGUGAAGAAGGCCUUAUGGUUGUAAAGCACUUUAAGCGAGGAGGAGGCUACUUUAGUUAAUACCUAGAGAUAGUGGACGUUACUCGCAGAAUAAGCACCGGCUAACUCUGUGCCAGCAGCCGC